GACGAACGCUGGCGGCGUGCUUAACACAUGCAAGUCGAACGGUGAAGCGCCUUCCUUUUUGGUGGGUGUGGAUGAGUGGCGAACGGGUGAGUAACACGUGAGUAACCUGCCCCCUUCUUCUGGAUAACCGCAUGAAAGUGUGGCUAAUACGGGACAUUCUGGGUCUGUCGCAUGAUGGGUCUGGGAAAGAUAUUGUUUCGGUGGGGGAUGGGCUCGCGGCCUAUCAGCUUGUUGGGGGGGUGAUGGCCUACCAAGGCGGUGACGGGUAGCCGGCCUGAGAGGGUGGACGGUCACACUGGGACUGAGACACGGCCCAGACUCCUACGAGAGGCAGCAGUGGGGAAUAGUGCACAAUGGGCGCAAGCCUGAUGCAGCGACGCCGCGUGAGGGAUGGAGGCCUGCGGGUUGUGAACCUCUUUCGCCAGUGAAGCAGGCCUGCCUCGUUUGUGGGUGGGUUGACGGUAGCUGGAUAAGAAGCGCCGGCUAACUACGUG
rnacentral:rRNA from 1 species